rnacentral:RNase_P_RNA from 1 species
GAGGAAAGUCCGGGCUCCACAGGGCAAGGAUAACGGGUAACACCCGCCGGGGGCGACCCUAGGACAAGUGCAACAGAGAUAAACCGCCGGCGGCCGCCUGAAUAUGCAGAGAUAACGUAAUGUCCGCAUAUUCAGGUGGUUGUCGGUAAGGAUGGAAAGGCGGAGAUAAGCGCCCGCCCGAUGACGUGUGAAAGCGCUCAUCGCUGUAAACUCUAUCCGGAGCAACGCCGUGGGAGAGCAUAUGACCGGCCCGGUCGCUCUCAGGAGGCGGCUGGAGCGUGUCGGCAACGGCACGUCGAGAUAGAUGGCUGUCUUAAAUGACAGAACCCGGCUUA